CCCUCCUCUCACGGCCUUGCAGGUGUGGCUUCUAUGUUGCAGGUACACCAGGAGGUGGCAGAGAGAAGAGAGGCUAUGUCUACACUCAAUGUUCUAACCGAUGAAUAUCUAAAUGAUCAGUAGCCUAAUAAU